CUUGGCUUCACCCAAGCUGGACAUCGAGAAAGUGAAUUUCUCAAGUCUAGUAUCAGCUUGGGGUUUGUUUUUCUAAUCAUAUCCUCUUAAUUGUUUUCAAAGGGUAAAAUUCAUUACUGUAGAAUUGCUGAUUAAACAGGUAUUAGUUCGAUUGGGUGAUAAUUAAUACUUCAAAGACUAGCUCAUUGAAGCCAAUUUGAUCGUUGUUAAAAUCAGUGUUUGUUCAAAGUUCGUUAAACAAGUUUGUGAAUGUCGUUGGGAAAUGCGGUCAAUUUAUUUCUUCUCAUUUCAUUCAUAUAUGCCUCUAUAUAUUCAUUAAAUUGAAAAAAUAGAUGUCAAUGUUGAAAUCUUUGUUUAUUUUGAUCUCUCAACGACGCCAUUUUGUAAAAUUUAUUAGACUGGUCCCGCGGAGUUACUUUAAUACAACGGAAAUAAUUCUUUCAAAAAUCGUUAACCAGUCAAUCACGUGAUCCGAAAAGAAAAAUAAGCGGGAAAUUUUAAAAAAUACGAAAAAAAUAUAGCGACGCGGUUGAACGGGAUAGCGACGCGGUCAGUGCAAUAGGACAGCGGGAAAUUGAAAUAGCGCUGAAAAUCGCGGCGCUAAAACGGCCUGGGA
rnacentral:lncRNA from 1 species